rnacentral:lncRNA from 1 species
ACUCUAUAAGCAAUCCAGGCAUUUGCAUAACAACGUUUCAUUUUCUUAAUGUAAUCUAAUAUAUCAAUUGCUGCAAAAAUGUUUGCAGAUAUCGCUUCCCUUAAAACUUUCAACUCAAAAAAUAAUUCUAUUACAUCAAUAUUAGAAAUCGUAUUAUGCUUCAAGUAAUUUUCAAGUUUAAUGCAAGAACACUUCAAAACAUUAUCAUCAAUAGAUUUAUGUCUUUUCAAAUCAAACAAAAAUUCAAAAAUAUCAUCAUAUUUCUGAAAUUGCUCAAAUCUAUUCUGAAGUGAUAAUAGAGCUUGAUCCACUAUAUAUAUGAAAUAAUUGAUCUUAAAAGAUUCUUAAACUGUUUUUGUUAUCUCUUCAGAAGAAGUCUCAUCAAACUGUUUUUUUCCUUAUGUAUAACCCGUUUUCCACGAAAUAUCAAUUUAAUUUCUAAUUCACUUGCAAUCUCUUUAGCAUCAAUCAUGGCCGAUUCAAAACAAGAUUCUCUAUAACUUUUGAAAAAUGAAAUGAGGCCUUUUAAAUGGUCUAUAGUAACAUCAAUAUGCAUGUCUUCUGCUUGCAAAUGUUCACUUACUCUAUUCAGAUUAUUCAACACUUCAUACCAAAUAAUCAUCCCAAGUAAGAAUUCAAAAUUGUCAAUUUCAUAUGUUGCCAAACACUUCGGCUCACUUUUUAUCUUAGGAUCAUCAACAUUUGCUAAUUGAAGUAAUGUUUUUUUUAUCUAUGGAGUUUGAAAUCUCAUCGCUCUAACAUUUUCAAUGUGACUUUCCCAACGAGUUUGUGACAAGAGCUUAAGGGUAAGACGAGUUAUAUUCUCUUUGAAAACUUUCCAUCAUUUAGUAGAUGAAGAAAAUAAACUAUAUAUACGUUGCACCACCCCAAAGAAAGAUUUAGCUUUUGAACAACAAGUGACCAUGUCACAAAGUGCAAGAUUAAGAUUAUGACAUCCACAAGGAACGUAGAAUGCUCUAGGAUUUAGCUGUAAUAGUCUACUUUGAACUCCUUUAUGUUGCCCUUUCAUGUUAGCACCAUUAUCAUAGCCUUAACCCCUUACAUUAUCAAUAUCAAGUUCUAGAUUAUUCAAAGCAUCUACCAAUUCCUCAAAAAGUCCCUUACCUAAUGUAUCAUCCACUAAUAAAAAUCAUAAAAAAAAUUCUUCAACCUUCACUAGACUUGUCAAAAUAUCUACACACCUCAAUUAUUAUUGACAUUUGUUCUUCGUGACUUGUAUCUGGAGUGCAAUCAAAUACAACAUAGAAGUAUUUAGAAAUUUUGAGUUUCUCAAUGAUUAUUAUUUUUAUCUCGUCCACUAGCAUAAGUAUCAACUCAUUCUGAAUUUUGUAUCCUAGAUAAUGAUAUAAUGAAUCUCUUUAUUUUUUAUUCGACGAACAUACUCUUGCAUUACAGGGUCAAACUUAGGAAUCAUUUGAAUCAUGCUUAAGAGGAUACCAUUAUUUUCUUGAUAUAUCUUCUCAUUAUCCACACAAAAUGCUAAAUUAUUCUCAGCAAGAGUUUUCACCACAGAUAUUAUUCUCAGCAAUACUUGUCUCCAAUAUUCUCUAUCUCUAUUAAUUUGUUCUUGCACACUUUUGUAAUUGUUUUACUCUUUUCAAAUCUUAAUUCCAUUUCUAUCAAUUUACUCGUGUUAUUGAUGUGGUCACAACUUACUUCAUGCAUUUUAAGUUUUUCACCAAUAUUUUUCCAAUCAUCUACUCCAUCAUGUGCCAAUUGAGUUCUGAUCCCAUCAUUCUUGAAUAGCUUACAACAAAAGCAAAAUACUUUAUCCAAACUUUUUGAAUAUAUCAACCAUUUUCUAUCAUGCUUCUCUUCAUUAGGUAAUCGUCGAAGGUAAUGUGUGGAUGAGAAGUGUCGAUUCGCUCCAU